rnacentral:rRNA from 1 species
AUGGCGGGGGUCCAGGAACGGCAAUACGAAGAGUUCUUUGGUGGGUUUUACUUCGAUGAAGAUGCGUUAAGCAAGGAUAUAUCACUGGAUGGGCUGGACAAGGAACUUGAGGAGCACAAGAACUAUGAUGUGCUAAUAAGUAUUCUAACCAACGGUGAAAAACAGCGUGACAUGGCAACCAUGGUGGAAGGCAACCUAGGCCAUAUUGAACAGGAUCUGAUUCAAGAUUAUAUAAAAGAUAAUGACAGCCUAGUUCUGUUGCAUGAUCAGAUUCAUGACUGUGACAUUGUUUUAUCUCAAAUAGGAUCACUUCUUAGUGGAUUUCAGGUUCACAUUGGUUCUUUAAGCUCGGAACUUAGAAGUCUCCACGAGAAAUCCUUGGACUUGGGUGUGAGGCUGAAGAACCGGAAGUUGGCUGAGACAAAGCUUGCAGCAUUUGUCGAAGAAAUUGUCGCUCCUCCUGGUUUGGUGAAUGCUAUAAUUGAUGGAGAGGUAAAUGAUGAUUAUAUCAAAAGUCUAAACAUGUUGAGCAAAAAGUUAAGAUUUGCUCAAGUUGAUCCAUUGCUUAAUGCAUCAAAAGCUCUGAAAGAUAUUAAGCAAGAACUGGAAAGGCUUCGGAAAAAGGCACUAUCAAAGGUGUCCGCCUAUGUCAUUGGGAUAUUCUCUUCCAUGAGAAAGCCUGGAACUAAUAUCCAGAUACUUCAACAAAAUUUGCUUCAGAAGUAUAGGCAUCUUGUUCUCUUUCUUAAAGAGCAUGGAAUCGAGAAAUAUAAUGAUGUCUGUGCAGCAUAUGUUGAUAAAAUGAACAAGGUGCUGAGUGAAGAUUUUCGUGUGUACCUAGAAGCAUUGGAGAGUUUGAAGCUAGAUAUUGGUGUAUCCACUGAUGUGAUUGGAUAUGACGCCAAUGUCGUAGACCUUAUACCAAGGGGGAGAGAGCAACUGAGAAAUCAUCGUUUCAUGUUUUCUUUAGGUGAACGAUCAAACAUUUUGAAGGAGAUUGAUCAGCCUGGCUUGGUACCUUGUAUAUCUGAAGCUAAUUCCUUGAAAUACCCAUAUGAAGUUAUUUUUAGGAGCCUACAAAAGCUUCUGAUGGACACUGCUAGCUCUGAGUAUAUUUUUAUCAAAGCAUUCUUUCGCGAUGAGUCGAUGUUUUAUCGAGUUUUUGAAGGACCUGUUGCAGUAAUUGAUGAAAACAUGAAGCUUACUCUUGCAAAUAGUCAUGAUGCAAUAUGCCUGAUGCUCAUGAUCUGCAUAACUAAAAAGCACCAGCUGGUUAUGUCCAACAGGCGGCUUCCUUGUCUAGAUACAUAUUUGGAUAAGGCUCUGAUCUAUCUCUGGCCACGUUUCAAGACAGUGUUUGACAUGUAUAUUCAAAGCUUGUACCAAUGUGAUGCGAAAAUGUUAUGGGUGGAUGGGACCCAUCCACACCACAUUGUAAGGUGCUACAUGGAGUUCACAGCAUCUCUUAUUCAACUUAAUGCUGAAUGUGGAGAUGGUCAGCUUGAUAUGAGCUUGAAAAGGUUGCGGUUAGCUGUUGAUGAUCUACUUGUUAGAUUUGCCGAAAAGUUUGCAACUCAGAAACUGAAACACCUGUUUCUUUUGAAUAAUUGUGACAUGGCCAUCUCUAUCCUGAAGGAAGCUGGUGAAGAAGCAAAAGAACUGCGAAGAUAUUUUGAAGAGAAGCUGGAAAGUAACCUGGUGUCAUUUGUGGAUGAAUUGCUCAUGGAGUAUUUUGGUGAUUUAAUUAAAUUUGUGAAGAACCACAUUUCCGAAGACCUAAUUUCUUACACUGAGUGCCCAAACAUUGCUGAUGUUGAGCCGGUUGUGAAGAACUUCGCCGUGAAGUGGAGAACUGCUCUAGAGCUCAUGCACAAUGAAGUUGUAACUUGUUGCAGUAACUUUGUGUCUGGUAUGGCGAUUCUAAAAGCAGCAAUGGCUCAGUUGCUUAAUGACUACAACAGACUCUCAGAAUGUGUGAAGAUGAUCCCAGGUGGAUCUUCUUUGAACAGGAAUCUGGUUUCUAUCACCUCGAUUUCAUACGAAAUCAGGAAAUAUUCAAGAACACUCUAG